rnacentral:rRNA from 1 species
GAACACAACUCUNAGCAACGGAUAUCUUGGCU